UCGAAGGUAAUCGAUCAACGUUGACGAGGCAUUUCAAAUCAAGGCGCUGUCAGGGAUUGGACGGUUGGGGUACCGAGUAGGGCGCCCUCAAUUGGAAAUACCUCGAUACUUGUGUCAUAGAAACCAGCAUACGUGUCACCGCUUUGUGACGCCACCUUAAGAGAUGCAUUGCCAAACACUACACCAUCGCAUUCUCGACACGCACUGCAGCGGCCGAAAAAAUCUAUCCAGGUGGCCUUGACCACCUUGUUGGCAGCUUCCCUUGCUCCAUGUUGGCAACGCUGGUUGCACAGCCUACCGAGUAUUGUCUAAUAUAACUAUGCAUCCACUACAUUUUUGCCCACAUUCAAACCUUCGGAUGCUUUAUCACAAGUUGAACCUGACGAUAGAUUAUUGAUAGUUAACUUUAAGGGGAUCAUCAGAACAGGUUUCUCAUCGACAAGCUUGCUUUAAAGACGGUGAUUGAUUGAUUGUUUGAUUGAUUGAUCGAUCGAUUGAUAGAACCACUACCACAACCCAGC